CCGUGUAUCCACGUACAAACAAUGUGAACUGUUCCCAAAAUGUUGCCUCGGCGGGGAAUUUAUUCAUGCCCCGGGCGCGUCGCAGCCCCGGACCAAGGCGCCCGCCGGAGGACCAACCAAAACUCUUUUGUAUGUCCCCUCGCGGACUUUUAUAAUUCUGAACCAUCUCGGCGCCCCUUGCGGGCGUUUCGAAAAUGAAUCA
rnacentral:misc_RNA from 1 species